UCCCUGGUGGUCUAGUGGCUAGAAGUUCGACGCUCUCCGCCCCGCGGCCCGGGUUCGAUUCCCGGUCAGGGAA
rnacentral:tRNA from 1 species